UAAGUACUCCCUCCGUUCGGAAUUACUUGUCUCGGAUAUGGAUGUAUCUAGAACUAAAAUACGUCUAGAUACAUCCAUUUCUACGACAAGUAAUUCUGAAUGGAGGGAGUACAAC
rnacentral:pre_miRNA from 1 species